UACGGGGGGGGCAAGCGUUGUUCGGAAUUACUGGGCGUAAAGGGCUCGUAGGCGGCCAACUAAGUCAGACGUGAAAUCCCUCGGCUUAACCGGGGAACUGCGUCUGAUACUGGAUGGCUUGAGGUUGGGAGAGGGAUGCCGAAUUCCAGGUGUAGCGGUGAAAUGCGUAGAUAUCUGGAGGAACACCGGUGGCGAAGGCGGCAUCCUGGACCAAUUCUGACGCUGAGGAGCGAAAGCCAGGGGAGCAAACGGG
rnacentral:rRNA from 1 species